UACGGAGGGUGCAAGCGUUAAUCGGAAUUACUGGGCGUAAAGGGCGCGUAGGUGGUUUGGUAAGUUGGCUGUGAAAUUCCUGGGCUUAACCUGGGGUGGUCAGCCAAUACUGUCAAGCUAGAGUACGAGAGAGGGUAGUGGAAUUUCAGGUGUAGCGGUGAAAUGCGUAGAUAUCUGAAGGAACACCAGUGGCGAAGGCGACUACCUGGCUCGAUACUGACACUGAGGCGCGAAAGCGUGGGGAGCAAACAGG
rnacentral:rRNA from 1 species